GUGGGGAAUUUUGCGCAAUGGGGGAAACCCUGACGCAGCGACGCCGCGUGGAGGAUGAAGGUCUUCGGGUUGUAAACUCCUUUUCUUAGGGAAAAUGAUGAUGGUACCUAAGGAAUAAGCCACGGCUAACUCUGUGCCAGCAGCCGCGGUAAGACAGAGGUGGCGAGCGUUGUUCGGAAUUACUGGGCUUAAAGGGCGAGUAGGCGGUGGAGCAAGUCUGAGGUGGAAGCCUAUGGCUUAACCAUAGAACUGCCUUGGAUACUGUUUCACUUGAGUCAGUAAGGGGAGGGCGGAAUUCCCGGUGUAGCGGUGAAAUGCGUAGAUAUCGGGAGGAAGGCCAGUGGCGAAGGCGGCCCUCUGGUGCUGAACUGACGCUGAGGCGCGAAAGCGUGGGGAGCAAACAGGAUUAGAAACCCGGGUAGUCC
rnacentral:rRNA from 1 species